rnacentral:rRNA from 1 species
GACGAACGCUGGCGGCGUGCCUAAUACAUGCAAGUUGAGCGAUGAAGAGUGGUGCUUGCACCUAUUUUAAGAGCAGCGAACGGGUGAGUAACACGUGGAGAAUCUGCCUUUGAGCGGGGGACAACAUUGGGAAACGAAUGCUAAUACCGCAUAACAACUUUAAACAUAAGGUUUAAGUUUGAAAGAUGCAAUUGCAUCCCCCAAAGGUGAUCCCGCGUUGGAUUAGCUAGUUGGGGAGGUAAAGGCUCACCAAAGGGAUGAUACAUAACCGAACUGAGAGGGGGAACGGCCAACAUUGGACCGGGAACACGCUCAAACUCCCAAGGGAGGCAGCAGGAGGGGAACUUCCGGCAUGGACGAAAGUCCGAACGAGGCACGCCGGGGGAGGGGAGGAGGUUCUUGGGUCGGUAAAAUUCGUUUGUAGGGGAGAAAGAUGGUGGGAGUGAACAGCGCACAACGUGACGGUACCUAACCAGAAAGCGACGGCUAACUACGUG